AAGUAGGGCGGGACACGUGAUAUCCUGUCUGAAGAUGGGGGGACCAUCCUCCAAGGCUAAAUACUCCUGAUUGACCGAUAGUGAACCAGUACUGUGAAGGAAAGGCGAAAAGAACCCCGGUGAGGGGAGUGAAAUAGAACCUGAAACCUUGUACGUACAAGCAGUGGGAGCCGUAAGGUGACUGCGUACCUUUUGUAUAAUGGGUCAGCGACUUAUAUUUUGUAGCGAGGUUAACCGAAUAGGGGAGCCGAAGGGAAACCGAGUCUUAACUGGGCGUUUAGUUGCAAGGUAUAGACCCGAAACCCGGUGAUCUAGCCAUGGGCAGGUUGAAGGUUGGGUAACACUAACUGGAGGACCGAACCGACUAAUGUUGAAAAAUUAGCGGAUGACUUGUGGCUGGGGGUGAAAGGCCAAUCAAACCGGGAGAUAGCUGGUUCUCCCCGAAAUCUAUUUAGGUAGAGCCUUGAGCGGACACCUUUGGGGGUAGAGCACUGUUUCGGCUAGGGGGCCAUCCCGGCUUACCAACCCGAUGCAAACUACGAAUACCAAAGAGUGAUACUCAGGAGACACACGGCGGGUGCUAACGUCCGUCGUGGAGAGGGAAACAACCCAGACCGCCAGCUAAGGUCCCAAAGUUUAUAUUAAGUGGGAAACGAAGUGGGAAGGCUUAGACAGCUAGGAUGUUGGCUUAGAAGCAGCCAUCAUUUAAAGAAAGCGUAAUAGCUCACUAGUCGAGUCGGCCUGCGCGGAAGAUGUAACGGGGCUCAAAUAUAGCACCGAAGCUGCGGCAUCAGGAGCAACAUUAAUGGUUUUUACGAUUAACAACUUACGAACAAAGUGAGUGAGUUGGUCAAGCCAACAAAACGUUGAGUCGGAUUUAACGACAAGAAUCAUUAAUGUUGCUCCUGUUGGGUAGGGGAGCGUUGUGUAAGCGGAUGAAGAUAGAUUGAGAGGUCUGUUGGACGUAUCACAAGUGCGAAUGCUGACAUAAGUAACGAUAAAACGGGUGAAAAACCCGUUCGCCGGAAGACCAAGGUUUCCUGUCCAACGUUAAUCGGGGCAGGGUGAGUCGGCCCCUAAGGCGAGGCUGAAAAGCGUAGUCGAUGGGAAACGGGUUAAUAUUCCCGUACUUGGAUAAACUGCGAUGUGGGGACGGAGCAGGUUAGGUUAGCGUGCUGUUGGAUAUGCACGUUUAAG
rnacentral:rRNA from 1 species